rnacentral:rRNA from 1 species
CCUCCAAUAGAUAUUAUUGGACGGCAAGUCUGGUGCCAGCAGCCGCGGUAAUUCCAGCUCCAAAAGCGUAUAUUAAAGUUGUUGCAGUUAAAAAGCUCGUAGUUGAACCUUGGGCUUGGCUGGCCGGUCCAUCUUUUUUGAUGCGUACUGGACCCAGCCGAGCCUUUCCUUCUGGCUAGCCUUUUUGGCGAACCAGGACUUUUACUUUGAAAAAAUUAGAGUGUUCAAAGCAGGCCUUUGCUCGAAUAUAUUAGCAUGGAAUAAUAGAAUAGGACGUUAUGGUUCUAUUUUGUUGGUUUCUAGGACCAUCGUAAUGAUUAAUAGGGACGGUCGGGGGUAUCAGUAUUCAGUAGUCAGAGGUGAAAUUCUUGGAUUUACUGAAGACUAACUACUGCGAAAGCAUUUACCAAGGACGUUUUCAUUAAUCAAGAACGAAAGUUAGGGGAUCGAAGAUGAUCAGAUAACCGUCCGAAUAUCCCCU